CCUACGGGAGGCAGCAGUGGGGAAUCUUGCGCAAUGGGCGAAAGCCUGACGCAGCAACGCCGCGUGCGGGAAGAAGGCUUUCGGGCUGUAAACCGCUUUCAGCAGGAACGAAAAUGACGGUACCUGCAGAAGAAGGAGCGGCCAACUAUGUGCCAGCAGCCGCGGUGAUACAUAGGCUUCAAGCGUUGUCCGGAUUUAUUGGGCGUAAAGAGUUCGUAGGCGGUCAAGUAAGUCGGGUGUGAAAAUUCUGGGCUCAACCCAGAGACGCCACCCGAUACUGCUUAACUUGAGUUCGAUAGGGGAGUGGGGAAUUCCUAGUGUAGCGGUGAAAUGCGCAGAUAUUAGGAGGAACACCGGUGGCGAAGGCGCCACUCUGGAUCGAUACUGACGCUGAGGAACGAAAGCAUGGGUAGCAAACAGGAUUAGAUACCCUGGUAGUCCAUGCCGUAAACGGUGGGCACUAGGUGUGGGUUUCUAUUAACGAAAUCCGCGCCGUCGCUAACGCAUUAAGUGCCCCGCCUGGGGAGUACGGUCGCAAGACUAAAACUCAAAGAUAAUGCGNGNGAGAGCGACGACGACGACGACGGAGGAG
rnacentral:rRNA from 1 species